rnacentral:lncRNA from 1 species
UUUCAAUAUAAUAUUGUUGAUGUUUCUGGCACCUAUUGCAGCAACAUUGUCGUUAUUGAAUAAAUAUAUAAAUUGUUCGCUAUUUGAUAUUUAUAAAUUAAAAUGUUAAGCUUAAUGUAUCAUGAUAUGUCUAUAAUGGGCAUUUUAAAAGCACAGGAAUAUAAAAAAAGAAGAUGUGGUAUGAUUUCCAAUUAGACAACAGUCCACAAGAGACCAAAAUGACAGAGACAUUAACAAAUAUAGGUCACCGUACGGCCUUCAACAAUGAGCAAUGCCAAAUCCGCAUGGUCAGCUAUAAAAGGCCCCGAUAUGACAAUGUAAAACAAUUCAAACAAGAAAACUAACCGCCUUAUUUAUAUAACAAAAAAAAAUGAACGAAAAAAAAUAUGUAACACAUAAACAAACGACAACUACUGAAUUGCAGGCUCAUGACUUGGGACAGGCACAUACAUAAAUAAUGUGGCGGGGUUAAAAUUGUUAGCGGGCUCCCUGUCCUCCCCCUAGUCUCGGUCAGUGGUAUAAAAGUACAUGUACAACAUAAAAACGAACUAUAAUAAUCAGUUUAAAUAGGCUUAACUCAUCAGAUGGACAAAAACAUGGAGGGUAGAGUGUAAUAUUUGUAACUGGUCGUUAAGCAACCAUGAAUCAUUUAAUCUAUUCUUUAUAUUUUCAUCUCUUUAUUCUGUAAUUUAAAGUGCUUAUCCCAUUAUCAUCUUUAUUUCUGUAAACUCUAUUUAUUUACUUUCAUAGCCUCAUAUAUGUACAUGUACAUGGUAUUUGUUACAGGAACAAUUUUGACAUAAAAAAAUUACAACAAAGUUAGUGUCCAUAUUUUCAGGACACGAUAAAUGACUUGAAUUUAGCUAGAAGGUUUUUUUUUCUAAGAAAAUCCAGUUUUUAACACACUUAUGCUUAAUGCUUAAUACUCACACUAUCAGCCCACUUGUGAACUUUUGCACUUAACCGAUUUGAGCUCAUGUUAUUUAAUCUACACCACAAACGAAUAAUACUUUUCCACUGUUUAUCAAAAUUAGGUGGUAUUCCUAAGUCUCUAGUAACUGUAGCAUUUGGUGCAUAUUUUUGUACUCCGAGAAAAAAAUCUACAAGCCCUAUUAUGUAUAGAGUUAAUACAGGAAUAUGUUUUUUUUGACCCCAUAUACCUGCUCCAUAUUCUAUUAUAGGACAAACCAAUCUUUCAUACAAUUUUACAAAUACAACGAAACAAACACCACCUAAAACAAUCGUUUUACAAAAAUAAAUCAACUUCGAAUUACAAUGAAGUUUGACUAAAAACCCCAAAAAAGUAUCAUAAAGUCAAAAUAAUUAACCUAUAAAAAAAUAC